AACCUUUACACUGCACGACAGUGCGAUAAGGGAAUCCCAAGUGCGUAGGCAUAGAGCCUACGCUUUUGUCCACCGUAGGGAGGUGGACGAAUAAGGGCUGGGCAAGACCGGUGCCAGCCGCCGCGGUAAUACCGGCAGCUCGAGUGAUGUCCAAUAUUAUUGGGCCUAAAGCGUCCGUAGCUGGCCAGCCAAGUUCGUCGGGAAAUCCACCUGCCCAACAGGUGGGCGUCCGGCGAAAACUGUCUGGCUUGGAACCGGAAGGCUCAGAGGGUACGUCGAGGGUAGGAGUGAAAUCCCGUAAUCCUCGACGGACCACCGAUGGCGAAAGCACUCUGAGAAGACGGCUUCGACAGUGAGGGACGAAAGCUAGGGUCUCAAACCGGAUUAGAUACCCGGGUAGUCCUAGCUGUAAACGAUGCUCGUUAGGUGUGGCACCCACUACGAGUGGGUGCUGUGCCGUAGGGAAGCCGCUAAACGAGCCGCCUGGGAAGUACGUCCGCAAGGAUGAAACUUAA
rnacentral:rRNA from 1 species